AUUAAAGUUGUUGCCGUUAAAAAGCUCGUAGUCGAACUUCGGCCUUUGCCGCCCGGUCCGCCUAUUUGGGCGUGUACUGGAGCGGUGGAGGCUUACCUCGUGGUGAACGGCCAUGCUCUUUACUGGGUGUGGUCGAGAACCAUGAUUUUUACUUUGAAAAAAUUAGAGUGUUCAAAGCAGGCUUACGCCCGAAUACAUUAGCAUGGAAUAAUAAAAUAGGACGUGCGGUUCUAUUUUGUUGGUUUCUAGGAUCGCCGUAAUGAUUAAUAGGGAUAGUUGGGGGCAUUCGUAUUCAAUUGCUAGAGGUGAAAUUCUUGGAUUUAUUGAAGACGAACUACUGCGAAAGCAUUUGCCAAGGAUGUUUUCAUUGAUCAAGAACGAAGGUUAGGGGAUCGAAAACGAUCAGAUACCGUUGUAGUCUUAACAGUAAACGAUGCCGACUAGGGAUCGGACGAGGAUUUUUAAUGACUCGUUCGGCACCUGAAGAGAAAUCUUUAAGUCUAGGUUCGGGGGGGAGUAUGGUCGCAAGGCUGAAACUUAAAGGAAUUGACGGAAGGGCACCACCAGGUGUGGAGCCUGCGGCUUAAUUUGACUCAACACGGGGAAACUCACCAGGUCCAGACACGACAAGGAUUGACAGAUUGAUAGCUCUUUCUUGAUUUCGUGGUUGGUGGUGCAUGGCCGUUCUUAGUUGGUGGAGUGAUUUGUCUGGUUAAUUCCGAUAACGAACGAGACCUUAUCCUGCUAAAUAGCCCGGCCGACUUUGGUUGGUCGCUGGCUUCUUAGAGGGACUAUCAGCGUUUAGCUGAUGGAAGUUUGAGGCAAUAACAGGUCUGUGAUGCCCUUAGAUGUUCUGGGCCGCACGCGCGCUACACUGACCGAACCAGCGAGUUUAUCACCUUGGCCGGAAGGCCUGGGUAAUCUUGUGAAACUCGGUCGUGAUGGGGAUAAAGCAUUGCAAUUAUUGCUUUUCAACGAGGAAUACCUAGUAAGCGUGAGUCAUCAGCUCGCGUUGAAUUCGUCCCUGCCCUUUGUACACACCGCCCGUCGCUACUACCGAUUGAAUGGCUUAGUGAGGCCUUCGGAUUGGCUUUUGGGAGCCGGCAACGGCACCUAAUUGCUGAGAAGUUGUACAAAC
rnacentral:rRNA from 1 species